UACGAAGGGGGCUAGCGUUGCCCGGAAUCACUGGGCGUAAAGCGCACGUAGGCGGAUCUUUAAGUCAGGGGUGAAAUCCCGAGGCUCAACCUCGGAACUGCCUUUGAUACUGGGGAUCUCGAGUCCGGAAGAGGUAAGUGGAACUGCGAGUGUAGAGGUGAAAUUCGUAGAUAUUCGCAAGAACACCAGUGGCGAAGGCGGCUUACUGGUCCGGAACUGACGCUGAGGUGCGAAAGCGUGGGGAGCAAACAGG
rnacentral:rRNA from 1 species